UGGGGAAUUUUGGACAAUGGGCGAAAGCCUGAUCCAGCAAUGCCGCGUGUGUGAAGAAGGCCUUCGGUUGUAAAGCACUUUUGUCCGGAAAGAAAUCCUUGGCUCUAAUACAGUCGGGGGAUGACGGUACCGGAAGAAUAAGCACCGGCUAACUACGUGCCAGCAGCCGCGGUAAUACGUAGGGUGCAAGCGUUAAUCGGAAUUACUGGGCGUAAAGCGUGCGCAGGCGGUUUGCUAAGACCGAUGUGAAAUCCCCGGGCUCAACCUGGGAACUGCAUUGGUGACUGGCAGGCUAGAGUAUGGCAGAGGGGGGUAGAAUUCCACGUGUAGCAGUGAAAUGCGUAGAGAUGUGGAGGAAUACCGAUGGCGAAGGCAGCCCCCUGGGCCAAUACUGACGCUCAUGCACGAAAGCGUGGGGAGCAAACAGGAUUAGAUACCCUGGUAGUCCACGCCCUAAACGAUGUCAACUAGUUGUUGGGGAUUCAUUUCCUUAGUAACGUAGCUAACGCGUGAAGUUGACCGCCUGGGGAGUACGGUCGCAAGAUU
rnacentral:rRNA from 1 species